GAAACAUGGACCAAGGAGUCUAGCAUGUGCGCGAGUCAUUGGGACAUAAUUAAACCUAAAGGCGUAAUGAAAGUAAAGGCCAGCCUUGCGCUGGCCGAGGGAAGAUGGGCGUAGCAUACAGUCUGCGCUCCGCAUUCCCGGGGCGUCUCGCUCUCAUCGCGAGAAGAGGCGCACCAAGAGCGUACACGCUGGGACCCGAAAGAUGGUGAACUAUGCCUGGUCAGGACGAAGUCAGGGGAAACCCUGAUGGAGGUCCGUAGCGAUUCUGACGUGCAAAUCGAUCGUCGGAACUGGGUAUAGGGGCGAAAGACUAAUCGAACCAUCUAGUAGCUGGUUCCCUCCGAAGUUUCCCUCAGGAUAGCUGGCGCUCGUCGCUCACGAGUCUCAUCCGGUAAAGCGAAUGAUUAGAGGCAUUGGGGCCGAAACGGCCUCAACCUAUUCUCAAACUUUAAAUGGGUGAGAUCUCCGGCUUGCUCGAACUGAUGAAGCCGCGAGACACGGAUCAGAGUGCCAAGUGGGCCAUUUUUGGUAAGCAGAACUGGCGCUGUGGGAUGAACCAAACGCCGAGUUAAAGCGCCUAAAUCGACGCUUAUGGGAUACCAUGAAAGGCGUUGGUAACUUAAGACAGCAGGACGGUGGCCAUGGAAGUCGGAAUCCG
rnacentral:rRNA from 1 species